UAGCAAUCCCAAUCCACCGCAACACGCUGUCCCCUCUCCGCCCUUUCCGGUCCCCUCCCCAUCCUUCUCCUGGUCUGCUGCUGCGUUUCCUCCCCAACCGCCGCUGCCACCGAGACCCCUCUUCGCCCUUCCCUGUCCCCUCCCCAUCCUUCUCCUUCGCUGCUGUAGCUCUGCUAUGUACUCAGUGGUUUAACUUAGUGGCUGUACUCUGUAGGUUGUAGCUCUAAAGCAUUUAGAGUUAGUUAUCAAUCCUAUAGGGUGUCAUGGAUCUAGGGUUUGGGUCAUGGGGCCACUGGCUGCUUGGCUGCGGGCUGCACCGUCGAUCCCCAGCACAAAUUGCUGGUCUCAAGAUCACAGAUAAGUUCUCCAAAACUGCUAUUGCUGGCCUGCUCUUGUGGUUCAACACUCCUGUCGCUGCCCUGCUCUUGUUGUUCAGUAAAUGGUAGUUCACUGAAAAGAGUGAUUGCAAAUAAAUUGUGGUGUAUUGAAGCUUCUUUAGAGUAAGUCGUUUGAUCUUAUAUACUGUAAAACUACUAUCUAAAGUUGCACAAUGAUCUUGAUAAACGCUCCUUGAAUAUGGUGUUUUUCGCUGCUGUGGAUUUUUCUGGAACAAAUUAAAUAUGGUGUUGUUCUUUCUAUAUCUUGAAAAGUGUCUAUGUCUGGUAUUUAAUAUUAUAAAGUGUGCAUGUGUUAAUUCAGAAAUCAUCUUCUUUUGCUACUUUUGUCAGUGCUAUGAAAUCGUUUUUGUUAGAAUAGGAUCCAAUUCAGUUCGAUUUAUGGCCACUCUUCCAUUCUAAAUUAUGAAAGAUCGUCUUCUAACUACAGGAAAGAGACUGAGCUUUCGUGCAUCCAAUCUAGAGAUAUGAAGCAGAGUAACCCAGAGGCGACACUUCAGGCAGAGCAGAACGCAGACCAUCCUCUUUGCUUGAUUGCUUGCCCGCUGCAUCUUUUCAAUGUACAUAUAUGUAUAUAUGAACGGAGGAUAAAUUGUAUUGUUUGACUGCUUGCCUGGUGCAACUUUUGCAUGUACGUAUGUAUGUGUAUGAAUAUGUGCAGGAAUAGAGGAUGGAUUGUGAACA